AAAGGAGCUCAAGCUAUAACCCAAUAUUUAACACAUGGUUCAAAUGGUAUAACAUAUGAAACACAUAUAACGGUACAUCAACUUUAAAGGAGCUAAAGCUAUAACUCAAUAUUUAACACAUGGUUUUAGAUAGUAUAAUUUCAGCACUGCACAAACUGCGGGUGAUCACUGGACAUUUUGGGAACACUGGAACUGCGCACUUAUAUACAGACGUCUUUAAAUGCAAUUCAAAUUGAGUAUAAAAUAGAAUUGAUCAUAUACAUAUAAAUAAAACAUAGUUACCAUAUGCAUACAGUCUUCAAGAACGAAAAAUUAAAGAUGCCCAAAUGAGGGCCACAAUCAACCAAAAACUUGUAGAAACUGGUGAAAGGGAAAGAUUAAAGGAAUUAUUAAGAACACGUUUGGUGGAAUGUGGGUGGAGAGAUCAG